AUUGAACGCUGGCGGCAGGCUUAACACAUGCAAGUCGAACGAGGGGCGGACGGGUGUGUAAUGCGUGGGACUCUAGCAUAUGGAGGGGGAUAACUACGGGAAACUGUAGCUAAUCCCGCGUACCAAAGGAUGACCCCAAGGGGGAUUAGGUAGUUGGUGGGGUAAAGGCUCACCGAGCCGACGAUCUCUAGCGGGUCUGAGAGGAUGACCAGCCACACUGGGACUGAGACACGGCCCAGACUCCUACGGGAGGCAGCAGUGGGGAAUAUUGCGCAAUGGGGGCAACCUGACGCAGCCAUGCCGCGUGAAUGAAGAAGGCCUUCGGGUUGUAAAGUUCUUUCGGUGGCGAGGCGUUAACUACAGAAGAAGCACCGGCUAACUCCGUGCCAGCAGCCGCGGUAAUAC
rnacentral:rRNA from 1 species